rnacentral:rRNA from 1 species
GCGGAAUGCUUUACACAUGCAAGUCGAACGGCAGCACGGGUGCUUGCACCUGGUGGCGAGUGGCGAACGGGUGAGUAAUAUAUCGGAACGUAUCCAAUAAUGGGGGAUAACUAAUCGAAAGGUUGGCUAAUACCGCAUACGCCCUACGGGGGAAAGCAGGGGAUCUUCGGACCUUGCGUUAAUGGAGCGGCCGAUAUCUGAUUAGCUAGUAGGUGAGGUAAAGGCUCACCUAGGCGACGAUCAGUAGCUGGUCUGAGAGGACGACCAGCCACACUGGAACUGAGACACGGUCCAGACUCCUACGGGAGGCAGCAGUGGGGAAUUUUGGACAAUGGGCGCAAGCCUGAUCCAGCCAUUCCGCGUGAGUGAAGAAGCCUUCGGGUUGUAAAGCUCUUUCGCAAGGGAAGAAACGAUACAGUCUAAUAAACUGUGUUAAUGACGGUACCUUGAUAAGAACACCGGCUAACUACGUGCCA